GGGCCCAAUUAUAAUACGAAACAUUCAUAAUAUGGGCUAAUUGGUUCAUGCAUUCACAUAAAUAAAUAACAAAACAUCCACUUAAGUUUAUCGGAUACAAUCCUACAACUACGGAGUUCAUUAUCAGAUAGAUAUAAAUAAAAUCUCGUACAUAUAGCUAAAUAGCAAAAUAACUAUUGAAAUUAGGAAAUUUCUUUUCUAGCUAUGCGGUGAAGGAAAUUUCUUUUCUAGCUAUGCGGUGAAGAAAAUAGAGCUUUAGCCGGGACAAAGAGGAAUCUAUUUUCUGAAAAAGUUAAACAAAAGAAAUGUGAGUUUAAUAAUGAAUUGUAAUUAUUGCAUAAUACAAGCAUUCACACGAAAUGCUUCCUAAAGUACUAAAAUGAACACAUAGCCGGUCAAGCAUAUGGCACAACAUCAGUAUCUACAAGUAAUUACACCUUCAGGUAAUCAAACAAGUGGAAAUUGGUCAAUGACGUCAUUGAAACCCCUGAUGAGCCUUCCUCACACAUGGCCCAUCUUCUCAUGACAUGUGCACCAGGGAGUUGAUCCCCCAUAAUGGCCGACCGGUUUAAUCCUCGCUUGACAAGCCUUCUCAUUUUUUUUAUACCCUCUUUUCCUUUCCAUACCAACAGGAGGCCACUCUGUGGUUUUUCAUAUAACCAAUAUCAUCAGAUACACACAGGGGCGCCAAUCUCCCCAUACAUAGCCGACGGUAUCAAAGAUAGUCCUCACAAAUCCAUGGUGACCCACUUCAUCCCAGUUCCACGCAAACAAGGCAAAUAUAUGUCACAACACAAAUAAUCAAACAAUGCAAUUAAAUGCAAGCAUAUUAAAUAAUUAAACACUAUCAUGCAAGAGCGCAAAUAGACAUUCAUAUACCAAUUCAAAUAAAUAUAAGAGUAUUAAAUAAUAAUAUAAUAUAAUAAUUGAUACUUAAAAAAUAAAUAAAUAAUAAAAAUAAAUAAUUAAUUAAAGACAAAGCUCUGCAUAGUAAUGAUUUUAUGUAUGAUGCAAAUGGUAAUGCACUAUUUAUUAUUUCUCAUAGUGAUUGGAAAGGAUAGAAUUCUUCUUGGUUCAAACUUAGAGAAGUUGAGAAGAGACCCAGACAAUCUAAAUGUGAUAAUAGAAAUAAGAGAAAAGCUUCUAUUAAAAUUUAGAAUUAAUUACUUAACUUAAGCCACUAGCUAAACUUAGAAAUAUGGAAAUUCUGUCGAAAAUUCGGCAGAUUCUCCUCUAAAAAUUGGACUUAACCACCUGUUGACUAUCCAUAAAUCACAAACAAUAUAUAAAGCCCAUCCGUUGGGCAAAUCCUUAUCAAACCCAUCCGCCAUUGACAACAUUUAUCAAAAUCUCAUCCUCAAUAUUCAGUCACAUAAUUUAAUUUUAUUAUAUCUAUAUCCUAACAUAAUCACAUCCCGAACUUCAAAUGCAUGUAUGUACACGCAUAUAUGCACUUAAUAAUUCUAAAAUUCUAAACCAAUUAAUUAAUCACAAUCGGCUACCAUAAAUACCGUAAGCUAAUCAAAAUUAAUUCAUUUAUAAAAGAUUAAAAAUUUUCUAUUUAUAUAUAAAGCUAUUCAAAUAAUCUAUUUCUUGUCAUUUAAUUAUAUCUACUUCAAUAACCAACUAAUCCAAUAUAAAGGCUAAAAUAUUCUAAAUGACUUGUAUUCUUAAUUUUUAGAAUUAAGUGUAGUUUAUCUAUUGAGGUUCUCUAACAAGAAUUAUAUUCAAUUAACUAUUUAUUCGAAAUCAAUUUAAUCAACUAAUAAUUUUAAAUUUGAAAUUUUUACCAAAAAUAAGGAAUUAGGUCUUAGAGCAUACCAAUCGAAAAUCGGGCUACGAUUCCACGAUCCGCACGAAGAGAAAAUGAUUCUACCUCUUGGGGCCUUACCGGAGACUCGCCGGACCGCCGCUGUCUAUGGUGGCCGAAAAAUCGUGGCUGCUCGGAAUCUAGUGCUCUUCACACCAUCUAGCUCAGAUUUCACUCAAGAAUUCAUUUUUGGCGUUGGUUGAGCGAGAUCGAUCCUCUAACUGAUCGGAACGGGCUCGACUUGCCUAUUGCGCUGACUUAAAAUGAAUGAAGCGAGAAGGAGGCUACGCCGUCGACAAGGGAGAUGCUAGAGCCAUCAACUGUGUCGAGGUCGCCGGAGACGGCGACGACGUUGCUGCGUCGAUUGCUAGAGAGAGAUUGCAGCUCGUCGAUUUGCUGCCCCCCGGAAAUGAAAACAGAGAGAGAAAGAAGCUGUAGAGCGAUGGUGGUGCAACGUCAUAGAGAAGAUGGAUUCGAUAAGCUCAGGUGGCCGAAAAUAAGAGAGGAGAGAGAGGUGAGCGGCGCCAGAGGAGAAAGAAAG
rnacentral:lncRNA from 1 species